rnacentral:rRNA from 1 species
CAAAGGAAGGGCCGGCUAAUCUCGUGCCAGCAGCCGCGGUAAUACGAGAGGCCCGAGCGUUAGGCGGAAUCACUGGGCUUAAAGGGUGCGUAGGCGGAUCAGUAAGCAUUUUGUGAAAUCCCUCGGCUCAACCGAGGAAUUGCAGAGUGAACUGCUGGUCUUGAGGUAGGCAGAGGUCAUCGGAACGUACGGUGGAGCGGUGAAAUGCGUAGAUAUCGUACGGAACGCCGAAGGGGUAGCCAGGUGACUGGGCCUUACCUGACGCUGAGGCACGAAAGCGUGGGGAUCAAACAGGAUUAGAUACCCUGGUAGUCCACGCCGUAAACGAUGUGCACUAGUUUGGUGGA